CCUACGGGAGGCAGCAGUGAGGAAUAUUGGUCAAUGGGCGCGAGCCUGAACCAGCCAAGUAGCGUGAAGGAUGACUGCCCUACGGGUUGUAAACUUCUUUUAUAAGGGAAUAAAGUGCGGCACGUGUGCCUGUUUGAAUGUACCUUAUGAAUAAGGAUCGGCUAACUCCGUGCCAGCAGCCGCGGUAAUACGGAGGAUCCGAGCGUUAUCCGGAUUUAUUGGGUUUAAAGGGUGCGUAGGUGGGUUGUUAAGUCAGUUGUGAAAGUUUGCGGCUCAACCGUAAAAUUGCAGUUGAUACUGGCAGUCUUGAGUACAGUAGAGGUAGGCGGAAUUCGUGGUGUAGCGGUGAAAUGCUUAGAUAUCACGAAGAACUCCGAUUGCGAAGGCAGCUUGCUAGACUGUCACUGACGCUGAUGCUCGAAAGUGUGGGUAUCAAACAGGAUUAGAUACCCCUGUAGUC
rnacentral:rRNA from 1 species